UUUCACAGACUUCUUUGAUCAUAUUUACCAAUGGUACCAACAAUUCUGACCACGUGUGUAAAUAACUUAUAAAGGUUGUGUACAUUGUAGUAUAACAAGCUCUUGGCUUGACUCUGUGCUGUCCACUUCUUGUAAUUGGAUAGCCUCUGCUAUGCGCCAAUUUUAGAUCACCUUAGUCAGGAAUUUUAAAGAAGUAGCUUAAGUUGGUUAUGGAAAUGCUGUCUGUUGUGCUGUGCUGGGCCUUUCUCCAGUCUUGCUGCUGUUAACAGAAUGAGCCGAAGCAUAUGUAGUAGGACCACUCCAGUGAUUUUUAAUGAGAUUUCUGAAGUAUUGAAAGCAGUUUAUGUUCAUAGCAGUGAGAGAUUUUAACCAGUAUGGAGGAUAAUAUGGAGAAACACAAAAUGCUCUUAAAAUAGGAGCUGUUGAAGGAGAGUGAAGAGAGACAGGAGAGUGGUGGGAUCUGGAAGCGUGGACUCAACCUGAACCUUCAUAGCAGAAAUUGUGAAUUGAGUCGAGUGUGCUCUUGGAAUAUUUAAUUAUAAUUGGAUUUUACUUUAGUCUUACAGAGAAUGUGUUGUACAGUUCGAGUCCUCAGCCUAUGUAUUUAUUGAUGACCAUAAAGUGCCGGGGACUGGCAUCCAUGAAGUGCACCAGAGAAGCAGAUGUUUGAAGAAGCUCAGAGGACGUCUUUGACUUCAAAUCAGGCAAGUGGCUGCAACUCUUCCAAUUUAAAAAAAUAAAUAAAAAAAAAUUCAGUCCACUUGGGACAAUAUUGAUUUAUUAAAGCAUUUUUGUUAUUUCCUUUUUAGGAAAGACAGAACAGGGUUUGUCUAACAAAAAUAGCACCUGGUUUCAUCAUUACUUCUUUUCGGAUGGCCAUCAUUCUUGUCAUCAGGUGUACAGUAACAGUGCAAUAGGUGCUUUUUUCUCCUGGUGCCAGGGACUGUAAGUAUUAUGAAGCUUCACAUAAGUUGUGAUUUAAAUAGGCCAAGAGUACAUGCACUAAAACUGACAGUCAUACACCAGGUCUAGUGAUUACUUUUUCGCAGCUGUUGUCUUUGCAAAUUAACCUGUCCGCUCUGGGGAAAGUGCUUUCAGCUCUUUUGUGAGACACUUCACCUGUUUGGCAUUACUGUGGCACUCAUUUCCAUCACAUAUACUUCAUUUGUUUCAAAGGAAGUACUCCAGCUUUGAAAAUACUGAAGGGAACAGUGAAGGAGGACUUUUUAACAUGACGUCUUCAGAAUGCCUGCAGUAACCUUGGAAACCACAACCAAAAGCUGUGUUGCUAGAGAAACAAACCAUUUUAUCCCUUCUCAAAUGAUGAGGGCAACCAGUUUACUGGAAGGAAAUUUUUGCCCGCACUUGAGAGGAGAUGUUUAGGAUUAACUGAGAAUUAUGGUGUAUAUAAGACUUAUUACGGUCUACUAAAAAUGGUCUUUUGCCAAAAAUAUCCUAUACAAACAUACAGCAAAUAUUCUUAUACAAAUGUCACUUGCAGGUGAUGUCUUUAAAAGCACAUUAUCAUUGUAUUGCAUUUGCUAUUUGAACAAAUAUUCAGUAUUUCUUAAGUAUUGACUUUUCUGAUAAAACUGUUACACUUAUGUCCACUUAUCAUGGUUUAGCUAAUAUGAUGUCUGUCGAAGACCUAUUGAAGUAAAUCUUGAGGAUGAACUGCUUUAUAGUGCUUAGAUGCUACAAACCCCAAUAUGAGCAUUCUAAAUGAAUUAUUGACAUUUGUCCCAAAGAACAUGAUUUAAAAAAAAAAAAAAAAAAACAUUACUUGCUGGAAAUAUUUCCCUGCAUAUCUUGGGACCAUAAAAGUACUAUCUUUAUCACUAGGGGGCAGUGCAACACUGUGGCUCCAAAAUUGUCCAAUUCCACAGUUCAGUUCAAUAGGUUUUAUGCAGUUCAUACAGAGCCGAUCCUCCCUAUACGCAAAAUGCACAAGCUGCGUAGGGUCCCCAAAAUACCAGAGGGGCCCCUGUUGCUCUCAAAGAUGAUUUAAUUUUAGUUUCGUUUUUGAAUGUGGCCAGCGGUUGUAAAAACAUGAAUGAUAAUUUCUUUUAAUACGGAGCGCUGUCACCCUUUCUACGUAAAAAUCUGUCAAAUCAUGUAACGUGAAUGUUGUACAGUCUUGAUUGAGACUAAAAAAAUUAGUUGAAAGCGUCCAGAGCUGCUGAAGAGACACUGUUUCUCAAACGCUUUCCAUGAGCGUCAUUUGAGACGGAGUGAAACACGGACAAAUGCGUUUCAUUCAUUCAUUCAUUCAUUCAUUCAUUCAUUCAUUCAUUCAUAACCACUCAUACCCCUCUCAGGGCCCCCAGAAGUCCAGGAUCGGCACUGAGUGCAUGAAUGUGGAGAUCUGUUCAAUAUACUCCCUCUUCUUUAGUACUUCACAUAUAUAAUGUUUUACUCCAUGAUCGUAUAAUUUUGAUUCCAAUUACAUAGUGCACUUUAUGUGAUUAAGAAUGAAUGUUAAGCUGGGUAGUUAUCUAGUGAAUGCAUCUUUGUGUAGGUCUUUGCUUCUUGUGGUUUCAUCAUAAAGUGAGUGGCAGAGGUCAUGUGUUGCCCUCUGCCUCUAUUACAACAGAAAAGACUAGCCUCCUACAAAAUGAUCUGUGCAGGUCUGUCAGGUAUCUGUUCUAUACUGUCAAGUCAAGUAAAUGCAAGAAAAAUGUAUAUGCAUCCACUUCAUAUUUCAGCAGCGUCUUAGUGCUUACAUUUUAAAGAUUCUUUUUCUGGUUAGGAAUGAAGCUAUUUGUGGAAUGAGAGUGCCCAAAGCAAUGCAUCAUUUUAGGAGUCAAUUUCCAUGUGGUUUAAAUUCAGAGUAAAUCUUAUUAAUAAAGUCGAGGGCCUCUCAGUGCUUGGUUAUGUGUUAUAGAUACAGUCCAAUAAAACAAGCACAGGCAGAUACACACAAACAUGCACUGUCGUGCAUGAAAAAUGGAUAAGUUAGACAGAUGAGGUCAAGCAGCAGUCUCAAGGUGCUGUGAGAAUGGGUUUAUGUGGCAGAGCCCAUAUGUCAGAAGGAAGACUAGAGGAAAAAUGAAAUAAAUUCCACUUUUUUCCAAGUAACCUCAUAGAAGCUGUACACACGGGACACAUUGUUACUUAUGAGGCUAUCAUAAAAUAGUGGCCCCCACAGGAUAAAAUGAUCCCAGAAUGGAUUUUCUCAGCCUUAAUAUAUCCAAGCCUGGAUUGUGACUGACGGCAUGCAGAACAACUGA